AGUGAACGCUGGCGGUAGGCCUAACACAUGCAAGUCGAACGGCAGCACAGUAAGAGCUUGCUCCUACGGGUGGCGAGUGGCGGACGGGUGAGGAAUACAUCGGAAUCUACUUUUUCGUGGGUGAUAACGUAGGGAAACUUACGCUAAUACCGCAUACGACCUACGGGUGAAAGCAGGGGAUCUUCGGACCUUUCGCGAUUGAAUGAGCCGAUGUCGGAUUAGCUAGUUGGCGGGGUAAAGGCCCACCAAGGCAACGAUCCGUAGCUGGUCCGAGAGGAUGAUCGGCCACCCUGGAACUGAGACACGGUCCAGACUCCUAGGGGAGGCAGCAGUGGGAAAUAUUGGACAAUGGGCGAAAGCCUGAUCCAGCAAGACCGCGUGGGUGAAGAGGGCCUUCGGGUUGUAAAGCCCUUUUGUUGGGAAGAAAAGCAGCAGGUUAAUACCCCGCUGUUCUGACGGUACCCAAAGAAUAAGCACCGGCUAACUUCGUG
rnacentral:rRNA from 1 species